rnacentral:lncRNA from 1 species
GUGAUGCAAAAAACUGUCUUUAAAUAUGGUGGUAAUUUCUUGUGAGGGGCUUCCCCUUUGAACUUGGCCUUGGAGGAGCUCAGGCUGGAGGCCUCAGAUUGUUUCCCUUUAGAGUGACAUGUGGAUCCAGAGCCUUCCAAAAGGAUCCAUGACCCCAAAAAAGGGUAAGAACCCUUGAACUAGAGGAAUUUGUGC